rnacentral:lncRNA from 1 species
ACCGCGCAGGUGGGCGCAGCCUUGGAAGGUCAGCGAGGCCAGAGCUCAGAGUUACCCCGGGGGCCGGGAGAGUGGGAGCCGGUGAAUGCCAGCUCCAAAUUCUCACAGAAGUACCAUGAUCGACACACCUACCAACCCCAAGACCAGACCACCAAGCCAGAGAUGGCAGUCAAGUUACAUUCUCAUAGCAGUGACUAUAGCAACCAGGUAACCUGAUUUCUGCUGGAAUAUCCCAGUUUGAUCACCAGAGCAAGUCAGAACAGUUGUGCAGACCUUAUCUCUUAAUUAAAUCCAGACCUUGAAGAUUCCUCUCCAUCAGGACUUCAUUUGUUCAUCAGAGAAGUAAUUAUGCUUCAUAAUCAGACAACUUGUGUGGUUCCUAUUCACUGCCCAUGUGACUUUUGACAAGUACUUCUAAAUUUCUGAGCCUGUUUUCUUUUAUAAAAUGGGAGUAUUAGUACCUACCUUCUAGAGGGGCUAUGAGAAUUCUCUGAGGUACCAUAAGGACAUGA